AUUGAACGCUGGCGGCAGGCCUAACACAUGCAAGUCGAGCGGAUGAAGGGAGCUUGCUCCUGGAUUCAGCGGCGGACGGGUGAGUAAUGCCUAGGAAUCUGCCUGGUAGUGGGGGAUAACGUCCGGAAACGGGCGCUAAUACCGCAUACGUCCUGAGGGAGAAAGUGGGGGAUCUUCGGACCUCACGCUAUCAGAUGAGCCUAGGUCGGAUUAGCUAGUUGGUGGGGUAAAGGCCUACCAAGGCGACGAUCCGUAACUGGUCUGAGAGGAUGAUCAGUCACACUGGAACUGAGACACGGUCCAGACUCCUACGGGAGGCAGCAGUGGUGAAUAUUGGACAAUGGGCGAAAGCCUGAUCCAGCCAUGCCGCGUGUGUGAAGAAGGUCUUCGGAUUGUAAAGCACUUUAAGUUGGGAGGAAGGGCAGUAAGUUAAUACCUUGCCGUUUUGACGUUACCAACAGAAUAAGCACCGGCUAACUUCGUG
rnacentral:rRNA from 1 species